CUACCUUUUGCAGAGGGAUAGCCCAGAGAAAUUUGGAUUAAUACCUCAUAGUAUAUAGAGCUGGCAUCAGCCCUAUAUUAAAGUCACAACGGCAAAAGGUGAGCAUGCGUCCCAUUAGCUAGUUGGUAAGGUAACGGCUUACCAAGGCUACGAUGGGUAGAGGUCCUGAGAGGGAGAUCCCCCACACUGGUACUGAGACACGGACCAGACUCCUACGGGAGGCAGCAGUGAGGAAUAUUGGACAAUGGGCGCAAGCCUGAUCCAGCCAUGCCGCGUGCAGGAUGACGGUCCUAUGGAUUGUAAACUGCUUUUGCACAGGAAGAAACAACGCUACGUGUAGCGUCUUGACGGUACUGUGAGAAUAAGGAUCGGCUAACUCCGUGCCAGCAGCCGCGGUAAUACGGAGGAUCCAAGCGUUAUCCGGAAUCAUUGGGUUUAAAGGGUCCGUAAGCGGUUUAAUAAGUCAGUGGUGAAAGCCCAUCGCUCAACGGUGGAACGGCCAUUGAUACUGCUAGACUUGAAUUAUUAGGAAGUAACUAGAAUAUGUAGUGUAGCGGUGAAAUGCUUAGAGAUUACAUGGAAUACCAAUUGCGAAGGCAGGGUUACUACUAAUUGAUUGACGCUGAUGGACGAAAGCGUGGGUAGCGAACAAGAUUAGAUACCCUGGUAGUC
rnacentral:rRNA from 1 species